AACGUAGGAGACAAACGUUAUCCGGAGUUACUGGGCGUAAAGGGCGUGUAGGUGGUUGCGUAAGUCUGGCGUGAAAUUUUCGGUUAACCGGGAAAGGUCGUCGGAUACUGCGUAGCUAGAGGACGGUAGAGGCGUGUGGAAUUCCGGGUGUAGUGGUGAAAUGCGUAGAGAUCCGGAGGAACACCAGUGGCGAAGGCGACACGCUGGGCCGUACCUGACACUGAUGCG
rnacentral:rRNA from 1 species